UACGUAGGGGGCGAGCGUUGUCCGGAUUCAUUGGGCGUAAAGCGCUUUAAGGCGGUUCGCUAAGUCGGGUGUGAAACCUCCAGGCUCAACCUGGAGACGCCACUCGAUACUGGCGUGACUAGAGUUCGGUAGGGGAUCACGGAAUUCCUGGUGUAGCGGUGAAUGACGCAGACGUAUCAGGAGGAACACCGGUGGCGAAGGCGGUGAUCUGGGCCGACACUGACGCUGUAGAGCGAAAGCGUGGGGAGCGAACAGG
rnacentral:rRNA from 1 species